AUUGAACGCUAGCGGGAUGCCUUACACAUGCAAGUCGAACGGAGUGGCGAACGGGUGAGUAAUGUAACGGACCGUGCCCCGUCGCGGGGGAUAACUACGCGAACGCGUAGCUAAUACUGCAUACUAUUGGAGCGGCCGAUACCGGAGUGGCUAGUUGGUGGGGUAACGGCUCACCAAGGCGACGUUCCGUAGCUGGUUUGAGAGGAAGCACAUCCACACUGGUACUGGGACACGGUCCAGACUCCGACGGGAGGCAGCAGUGGGGCAUGUUGGACAAUGGGAGAAAGCCUGAUCCAGCCAUCCCGCGUGUGCGAUGAAGGCCUUCGGGUUGUAAAGCACUUUUGGCAGGAAAGCGGUACCUGCAGAAUAAGCACCGGCUAACUACGUGCCAGCAGCCGCGGUAAUAC
rnacentral:rRNA from 1 species